AAUAGAGGUGGUGAUGGUAUCGCAACUGCCGCCAUCAUGGAUCUUGGUGAUACCUGCACCAGGGGAAACAAAUUUUGUACUGUGAAAACCAGCAAGCGUGACCCUAUGGAACCGUAGAACACGACCGUAGCCGUUGUUAGUUUGGGUGUGGAUUAUAUUAUUCUAACACGUGUAGAUCGCGAUGAUCUUCCCGACGAUGGGAAUGGUCAUUUCACAGAGACUGUUAGAGCAAUGAAGGUUGAUUGUAUACAUAUUCUACUGAUUUCUGCAUAUUAUAUAUAGUGGGCUGCGGAUAACUGAGGAUCAUGGCCUGCUCACCUAUGAACUGGUAAUGAUGAUGUGGCAACGAACGCGUAAGUGAAACAUGAGUGUAUGUUGCAUAGCUAACUUAAAAAUGACCAUAAAUUAAAGUCGUUUGAAAGAUUGAUCCUUCACAUGAAUGGUAAUAAAAUGGCGGCAAAACAUUAAGCAGACCAAGGACUGUUACCUAAAUAUGCAAUUUAGUGUUGUCUUUUCAGGUUCUUGGACAAUGCUCUUUCUUUCUCUAUUAAAAAUCAGAAUUUUGAUUGUUAUUAUUUUUUUGUCGUAGGGACAUCGACAAAAGAGUUGUUUCUUUACUAGAGAUACGACAAACAGUGGAGUAUAUGUAUAUGUAUAUAUAUAUGUAUAUAUAUAUAUAUAUAUAUAUAUAUAUAUAUAUAGCAGAUUUAAAGCUUCAUUCUCAAGUUAGUACUCAAGUAAGGUUGAAUGCAUUUGCCAACUAAAAAAUGGAAUUCUUUGAAGAGGAUUCAUGUCAAGGUGGCUAGGUGCGAAGGCGAUGCAAGAUGCAUCCUAGGUGCCCCAAACACAGCAAAGCGCAAGAAGCAUCUGAACCAGCAAAAAAAUAGUUUACACUAGCCAAAAAUGGACUGAAUUGGACUAAAGCAGGGCUGCACCGGCAACUGAAAUUUGAAAGUGACUACAACCCUGAGCUUUAAGCCAAUCCAUAUAUCCGUCAUCUUUAUUGCAUUGGCUGCAAGACGCUCAGCCACGGUGUCGUGUGGGAGGUCGGCACUGGCAGCGCUCAGGCCAUCACCUUAGUAAGGUAAUGUUCCCCUCACUGGUAUCGGUUUAUGUGUAACCGAGAUGAUUAUUAUAGUUAUUAUUACUUGAUUUAUGACUUACAUUUAAGUUUUUUUUUGUUAUAUGAAUAUUUGAAUUAUUAUUUAGGUCCUAUUUAGUUUUGUAAUGGAAUCAUAUUUGUUUUUUGUAGUUUGGGAGUAUGUACAGAAGUGUAAUUGGCACAAAUACAUGCAAUACUCUCAAAAGCUAACUCGAUGCUAAAGAAACAUUCAAGAUUGAAUCGUGCGUGUAAUAUACGUCGUUAAACUUAGAAGGGUUCAUUUUCGAUUAGGGUUUUUGGGUUGUUUGAUAGGCGCCGCAACGCGGCGCAGACUAAAACCUAGUUCUUUCUAAGAACAUUCACAACAAGAA